AUUGAACGCUGGCGGAAUGCUUUACACAUGCAAGUCGAACGGUAGAGGGGGCAACCCCUCGAGAGUGGCGAACGGGUGAGUAAUAUAUCGGAACGUGCCCAGUCGUGGGGAUAACGUAGCGAAAGUUACGCUAAUACCGCAUACGAUCUAAGGAUGAAAGCGGGGGAUCGCAAGACCUCGCGCGAUUGGAGCGGCCGAUAUCAGAUUAGGUAGUUGGUGGGGUAAAGGCUCACCAAGCCAACGAUCUGUAGCUGGUCUGAGAGGACGACCAGCCAAACUGGAACUGAGACACGGGCCAGACUCCUACGGGAGGCAGCAGUGGGGAAUUUUGGACAAUGGACGCAAGUCUGAUCCAGCGAUUCCGCGUGCAGGAUGAAGGCCCUCGGGUUGUAAACUGCUUUUGUACGGAACGAAAAGGUCUCUCUUAAUACGGGGGACUCAUGACGGUACCGUAAGAAUAAGCACCGGCUAACUACGUGCCAGCCGCCGCAGUAA
rnacentral:rRNA from 1 species